UACGGAGGGUGCAAGCGUUAUCCGGAUUCACUGGGUUUAAAGGGUGCGUAGGUGGGCAAGUAAGUCAGUGGUGAAAUCUCCGGGCUUAACCCGGAAACUGCCAUUGAUACUAUUUGUCUUGAAUACUGUGGAGGUCAGCGGAAUAUGUCAUGUAGCGGUGAAAAUGCUUAGAUAUGACAUAGAACACCAAUUGCGAAAGGCAGCUGGCUACACAAAUAUUGACACUGAGGCACGAAAGCGUGGGGAUCAAAACAGGA
rnacentral:rRNA from 1 species